rnacentral:sRNA from 1 species
CAUAUACCUGCACUUAAAAAGUUCAUUAGACAUACGAAAGUUCCGUAAAGAGCCGGUUCAGUUUCCUUAACCGUUUUCUGGUUUCAAAAUAAUUUAAAUAUUUAAAAUUAUUAAUUUUAAA